CCUGGCCGACGGGAUUGAGACGCACGUUCUCUAACCACCAGCAGCGUUCGAUCCUGCCGUCGGCCAUACUCCAAGCGGCGUGGGCAUCAAGCUCGGCUUCGACACCCGCACCAUCCAGGUCCACUCCCGCCUCCCAUGUCCCGUCUUGCUUCUAUUAUUCUAAUCGGUGGGUGCUUCCCACUAAUUGGUGGUUCCUUCCAGCAUCACUAGGAUCUCUGUUGUUGACUAGUUCCAGGACGGGGACUGGUUAAAUUUUGCAAGUGAUAGGGUUAAUUGACUAGUUCAAUUAAAUCACCAGUAUCCAAUCCACUAAGGAGAGUAAUUUUAAUCGGCCAGUGGCCAAUAGGACUAAUUAACUAGUUCGAGUUCACUAAUAAUUAGCUAGUUCAACUUCCAGUCAGAAUCUGAAUUAAUACCACUGAAUACAUUACAAUCGGGCUAGAGUUCAGUCCGUGUUUUCUUCAGUAACCCUAAUGGCAAUCAUGUGUACGUGCUCCAUUGUGCUGCACCAGGAGCAUUUUGAUAAAUUUGGCCUGAAUUGUCAUGAACAGAACCAGAUACAUUAUUGCCAAGACAUCAGCGCCACACACACCCCCAUCAAAUCCGUCCAACCUCAUCCUGUCUCCUCUCAGAUCUCGGUGGCUGCUCCAUUCUCGGUGCCUGAUUAAGCACAAGGUAUUGUUGUUCAUUCCUUAUUGGAU
rnacentral:lncRNA from 1 species